rnacentral:rRNA from 1 species
UGAGGAAUAUUGCGCAAUGGAGGAAACUCUGACGCAGCAACGCCGCGUGGGGGAUGAAGUUCUAUGGAGUGUAAACCCCUGUAAGCAGGGACGAAUGUUUCGUGGUCGAAUAGGCUGCGAGAUUGACGGUACCUGCAGAGUAAGCUCCGGCUAACUCCGUGCCAGCAGCCGCGGUAAUACGGGGGGAGCAAGCGUUGUCCGGAAUUACUGGGCGUAAAGGGCGUGUAGGCGGUUUAAUAAGUCAGAUGUUAAAGCUCCCGGCUCAACCGGGGAACGUCAUUUGAAACUGUUAAGCUUGAGUGCGAGAGAGGGUAGUGGAAUUCCCAGUGUAGCGGUGAAAUGCGUAGAUAUUGGGAAGAACACCAGUAGCGAAGGCGACACUCUGGACGAAUACUGACGCUGAGGCGCGAAAGCGUGGGGAGCAAACAGGAUUAGAUACCCUGGUAGUCCACGCCGUAAACGAUGUGAACUAGGGAUGGGGGGUGUUGAUCCCUCCUGUCCCGCAGCUAACGCAUUAAGUUCACCGCCUGGGGAGUACGGUCGCAAGAUUA